rnacentral:tmRNA from 1 species
GGGGAUGAAUGGUUUCGACGGGGCAGGCUGGUCGCGGGUUGCAAGCCGAGGCGCUCUCACCUCGUAAAUCCAGAGCAAAACACUAACUGCCAACACUGGCAAAACGUUCAACUUCGCUCCGCGUUUCGCAGCCGCGCCCGCAAUGGCGCUCGCUGCCUGAUUCGUAGCGAUAUGAACGUCUCCUCCCACUAAAGGGGGACGGUCUGUACCACGUGGCGCCUCCUGGCGCGGUAUGGGCCGUCAAACACAGGAUGGCUGCAACCGGUCCAACGCCGAUAGUACCGGAACAAGACCAUCGGCUAGCCGGCCCAGGGAACGCCGUCGCUGGCGGUCCGGUCGGUGAAACACCAAAGCAGCGACUAAGCUUGUAGAGACUUUCGGCCGAGUGUUUCGGACGCGGGUUCGAUACCCGCCAUCUCCACCU